AUGAAGACCCUUUUGAGGACUUCUUUGGGAAUCGAAGGGGUCCCCGAGGAAGCAGAAGCCGAGGGACGGGGUCGUUCUUCUCUGCAUUCGGUGGAUUUCCAUCUUUUGGAAGUGCAUUUCCUUCUUUUGAUACAGGAUUUACUUCAUUUGGGUCACUGGGUCACGGAGGUCUCGCUUCAUUUUCUUCUGCAUCAUUUGGUGGUAGUGGGAUGGGCAACUUCAGAUUGAUACCAACUUCAACUAAAAUAGUUAAUGCAGAAAAAUCACUACAAAGAGAAUUGUCGAGAAUGGUCAAGAAAGAAUAGAAGUUGAAGAAGACGGCCAGUUAAAGUCCUUAAUAAUAAAUGGUAAGUAGCAGCUGCUGCGCUUGGAUAACAAGUAACUCAACGCACGCGCUUAACAGAAAUGUUGAAGUAUAAUAAGCACCAUUUGAGGAUUAACAGGAACAUUUUUUGAAGAUUUCAAACGAACUUGACUUUCAGUAUAAUUGUACCUAAAGUAUUUAUAAACAGCUCAUUGGAGCCUCUAUUUGUCUAGACUUUUGAGUUUAUUGUUGGGACCACAUAAUAGGAUCAUUUUUUUUUUGUCUUUAAAAUUGUUGUAAAUCUCUGCAUGCACUUUGCUUUUUUAUUAAAUGUACUCCAAGGUGAGUCUUGACUCUUUAGUGUAGGACAAGAUUGUACACUAACACCAGCAUGGACCUGCUUUUCAUUGUGUCUGAAAUGUGAGCCACGUAGUGUUGGCCUGCUGUGAAGUUAACAUUGCCAGGACGAAUCUUCUAUAGAAAUAAUUUUCAUUUCUGUAAUAAUUUCCAUUUCUAUUAAUAUCUAGUGAAAGAUAUUAAUGCAUUAAUGGUAAUACAUUUCUGGUUUAAUAUAAAUUACGGAUGUUUUCUAGUUGUACAUGAAUGCUGGCAACUCAGUAAGUUUUGACAAUUGUUUAAAUAUGUAAUGUUAAGCUUAGGUUUAAAAAAGUAAAGCUGGUAAACCAGAUCUUUGUCAUUUGCUUAAAAAACAAAAAAGGAAAAUAAAUGUGAAUGUGUUGGUGCAAAAAAAAUUUUUUUUUCAUCAAAAUGAAAAACUUUAGUGUUGAAGGACAAAAAUCAAGAUAUUGAAAAGGCAGCCUAUAGGAUAGGAGAAGAUAUUUGUGAAUCAUGUGCUGAUAAGGGAUUAAUGUCCAGAAAAUAUGAAAAACCCUACGACUCAAAAACAAAGAAAUAAACAACCAAAAUGCAAAUCAAAACCACAAUGUGAUAUUACUUUUCCAGCAAACCACCAUGGCACAUGUAUACCUAUGUAACAAACCUGUACAUUCUGCAUAUGUAUCCAAGAAUUAAAGUAUAAAAAAAAAGUAAUGGCAAAAAACACAAUUACUUUUGAACGAACAUAAUAUUAUAAAACAAAACAAAACAGACACUAACAUGCGUUGGGGAGGAUGAGGAGAAACUGGAACAUUUGUGCAUUGCUGGUGGGAAUGUAAAGUGGCGCAGCUGCUGUGGAAACAGUAUGGAAGUUCCUCAAAAAUUAAACACAGAAUUACCACAUGAUCCAGCAAUUCCAUUUAUGGGUAUACACCCAAAAGAAGUUAAAGCAGAGACUAUAACAGAUAUUUUCGCACCAAUGCUUAUAUAAGCAUUAUUCACAGUAACCGAAAGUGGAAACACACUAAAUGUCCAUUGAUAGAUGAAUGGAUAAACAAAAUGCAGUGUAUACAUACAAUGGAAUAUUAUAAAUUCAGUAAAAGGAAUGAAAUUUUGAUACAUAUACAACAUGGAUAGACCUUGAAAAUAUUACACUAAUUGAAAUAAGUGAAACACAGAAGGUCAAAUAUUG
rnacentral:lncRNA from 1 species